CAGGGAAUAUUAGUAAUGGGCGAAAGCCUGAACUAGCAACGCCGCGUGUGCGAAGAAGGCCUUCGGGUUGUAAAGCACUUUUUGAGAGGAUGAGGAAGGACGGUACUCUCAGAAUAAGUCUCGGCUAACUACGUGCCAGCAGCCGCGGUAACACGUAGGAGGCAAACGUUAUCCGGAUUUACUGGGCGUAAAGCGCGUGUAGGUGGUUUGGUAAGUAGGGCGUGAAAGCUCCUGGCUCAACUGGGAGAGGACGUUCUAAACUGCCAAGCUUAAGGAUGGUAGAGGGAGGUGGAAUUCCGGGUGUAGCGGUGGAAUGCGCAGAUAUCCGGAGGAACACCAGUGGCGAAAGCGGCCUCCUGGACCAUUCCUGACACUCAGACGCGAAAGCUAGGGUAGCAAACGG
rnacentral:rRNA from 1 species